AGGUCGUUAGCUCAGUUGGUUAGAGCACCGGACUUUUAAUCCGGUUGUCAUUGGUUCGAGGCCAAUACGACCUA
rnacentral:tRNA from 1 species